GCUUCUCCUAAGGACUAAGCCAUGCAUGCCUUCGAAUACGAGGAAGCAAUUCUCUCUGAAUCUGCGAACGGCUCCGCACACCAGUUGUAAACCAAAGCAAGCUAGUCCAUGGCCUGGCCCUCACGGGUUGGGCUGUGGACGAUACGGAUAACCCUGGUAAUUCUGAGGCUAAUACGAGACUGCAAUCCCUGGCUAACCGCAAGGAAGGCUGGGGGGCGUGUAAAGGUUUCGCGAGGAAUAACCGGGAAGGGGUACACGCUCUGACCACGACAAAGACAGUCCCGGUAAAUCUUCUGAUGAGCUGGUUCUGAGUGGCUCUUGCGAGGUGCUUCUGACCUAUCAACUAGAUAGCAGCGUAACGGACAUGCCAUGGUUACAACGGGUACAGAGGAUUAGGGUUCGAUCCUGGAGAGUGGGCCUGAGAGAUUGCUCAUACUUCUAAGGAAGGCAGCAGGCGCGCAACGUUCCCCUUGGACAAUGUCCGAGGGCGUUAGGGGACAUAUGAAUGGUUGCCUUUUAGGUGGCCAAUUCAAAUGGGUCUGUUCUAAACAGUCUCUCGAGUAACAAUUAGAGGACAAGUCUGGUGGAAAACGCAAUUAUCUUUCUCAUAAAUUCACGCCAGGUGUCUACCGUAAAAAGUAGGCAGAAAGUUGGGAUCAGCUCCAACUGUACAGAUGUAAAUUGCAGGGACGUCUGAUUAAGUCACGAAUACCGCGGUCCCGGGGAAACCUGGGAUGCAGCAGGGAGGGUAAGAGCCUCCUGGAUGGUAAUAACGUCGUGGCAGGGUCCGAGGGGUAUUUGUCUGCCCCGAAUUCCCAACCAGAUAAUCGGCAGCCAAGCUCCCGAAGUUUCUCCUAAUGUCUACACUAAGAAAUCAUAUAAUGGCGUGGUUUCUGUGGAUUGCAGGGGAGAUGGGAUAAGGUUCAGAGACUAUAAUCAUCUGGGCGCAAGCUUAAGGAAUAGUCCAUUCCCCCCAGUGAUGGGGCUACCGGAAGUGGGAGGGAGUAGCUCCCCUCUGAGGCACGGUAGGCACAGCGACCGGGGAAAUUGAUCCCUCUCUGGUCAAAGUGUGGUAGCAAAGGCCAGCACCCGCGAAACCAGCUGGAUCCGCGGGGAAAGUCGGGGAUAAACCCUCGGCUAGUCGAGCCUCUAUCAAGCAUGUUAGGGGGAACAACUCGGCGACAUCAUCAAAUUGCGGGAAGUUCCUAAAGCUCUUACAACCAACCACGCGCCGAAAGGCGGAAAAAUCUCGGACUACGAUCUCAUUUAUGCUCUUGAGCAUUGGGGGAGUCGCGAGCGUGGGGCCAGGGUAAUGACCUCGGGUAUGGUAAAAUCGUAGGAGAUAGGUGAUUUGCGGGGGCAACCCCUCUUUUCCUAACCUAAUGGAUAAUCCGCAGCCAAGCUCGUUAAGGUACUUGCUAGUAUGCCCUGUUAGGGCUGCUACCUGAGACCACGGGUGCAGUUCAGAGACUAAAUGGUGGUGGGCAUCCCGGAUUUAUUCGGGUUGCCUAAGAUAUAGUCCGUCCACUGUGAAAGCAGGCCUUUCGAUAAAGGGGGAACAUGCACCCCCCCGAGCGAAAGGGACAGGGCACCUUCGGGGACCUUGUUGGAUAAAUUACACGGUAAUUCCAGCUCUAAUAGCAUACGUUAAAGUUGUUGCGGUUAAAACGCUCGUAGUCGGCUUAAGAUCAUCAGAAGCUUGCGAUGGAACCCUGGAUGCUGCCUUCAAUGGUGCUCUGGGCGACUGACAAAGGCUGGCGGUGAUCAAGCGUGCCUUAGGCUGUAUCUUCGGAUUCACAGGGUCUGGGUUCGCCCGGAUUCGGCUUGGGGUGCCACUUACCAUGAUCAAACCGGCUCGAUCAAGAAAGGUCACGACGAUCUUGCACGGCUUAGCAUGGAAUAAGUUAAACUGGCCCGGGAUUCUCGCGGAUCCUGGGUUGGUAGAAGCAAAAGGGGUGUUCGAGGGUGACCGAAUUGCUGGGCGAGUGGUGAAAUACGUUGACCCUAGCAAGUCGACCAAAGGCGAAAGCAGUCAUCAAGGGCAUUCCCGUUGAUCAAGAGCGAAAGUUAAGGGUUCGAAGACGAUUUGACACAGAUCUGGUCGUCAAAAGUGGUGCUCCCUGCCCUAAAAAGCGGGGGUAAAAGCGUUGCUAGUCUUAGACUAAAGGGAGCGUCGGCACGUUAGUAUGGCAAGGGUAACCGAGUCAGAAAGCUGUUGGUUGGGGAUUACUGUAUUAGUAGGGUUAGAUGCAUCUAAUUCGAACGUGCUUUGUUCUUAUCUCCUUGGGUUUAGGGCGACACUAUCAAAUUGCGGGAAUAUCCUAAAGCUAACACUACCAACCACGCGCCGAAAGGCGGAAAAAUCUUGGACUACGAUCCCAUUUUUGCUCUUAGGGCAUUGGGGGAGUCGCGAGCGUGGGGCCAGGGCAAUGACCUCGGGUACGGUAAAAACGUGUUAGAUUCGGUGAUCCAGGCUAACCCCGUUAAAUUGGGGCCUGUUUCCUAAGCCGUAAUGGACAACCUGCAGCCAAGCUCCGUAAACGGUUAACAGCGACCACUGGCUUCUGCUAAGUGCGUUGUUGGGGAUUAGCUAACCACAGAACACCAAUGGUCCGGAGGGAUCGGCAUCUGUGAGUGUAUAGGCGUCUUAACCAGGGGUGCAGUUCACAGACUAAAUGGUAGUGGGCGGUGAUGUCCGGGGAAACCUGGGUUGAUCUGCUUAAGAUAUAGUCGAUCCCCUUUGGAAACUUAGGGGGGGAAUGCAGAUACCGUCGUAGUCUUAACUAUAAAUGAUACUGACCAGAGAUAGGAUUCUGUCCAUCUCGACUUCUCCUGGAUCUUAGGGAAACUAUAGUCUUUGAGUUCUGGGGGGAGUAUGGUCGCAAGGCUGAAACUUAGGCGAACACAAGGUGAUUCUAUUGGGUUUUAAAAGUCGGCUAAAAGUGCCCGGCUAGUCCGGUCUCUUUUCUUUGGCGCAAGCUGGGGAGGGGGGACUACCGGUAAAUUGAUACUGGUUUCGAGGGCAACACUGUCAAAUUGCGGGGAGUCCCUAAAGCAUGUGCUACCAACUGCGCGGUUAAUAGCCGGAAAAAUCAGGAGUAUUGAUCCCUUAACGGGGGGAACUGCCUGCGCAGGGCCGGGGUAAUGUCCUAGGAUAUGGUAAAAACGCACGUGAUGAGGGUCCGAGACUAGCCUCUUGGGUCCGUUGAAAUGGGUAAUCCGCAGCCAAGCUCGUUAAGGUACUUGCUAGUAUGCCCUGUUAGGGCUGCUACCUGAGACCACGAGUGCAGUUCACAGGCCAAAUGUCAGUGGGCUCCGCAAGGGGCAUAAGAUAUGGUCGGCCCCCCUGGGAAACCAGGGGGAACAAGCGUAAAGGAAUUGACGGAAGGGCACACAAAGAGUAAAGCUUACGGUUUCGCUCUUAAAAGGUGGGGGGUCCAAGUAGUGCAUGGAUAUUCCAACCCCUGUCUAGUCGGCCUAAAAAACCGGCGACACUGUCAAAUUGCGGGAAAACCCUAAAGCUUUUGGUACUAAGCAUCUUUCGAAAGGGGGAUGUGGCGUUCAGGAAACGGUAUAGUAAUAAUCCAAAAGAUGUAACAAUGGGCAAUCCGCAGCCAAGCCCGUACAGGAGGAUUAGUAGGAUGUGGGGGGACCCCAUCCGAAUCCCUUCCCAGGGUGCAGUUCAGAGACUAAACGGCAGUGGGUGGUAACCUGUAAACCCGGGGUAACCUGGGAAUGUGGGGGUCUGCUUAAGAUAGAGUCCAGCCCCUGGCGAAAGUUGGGGGGGUUAGCUGGGAACCUGCGGCUUAACAAUUAGGCCACAAGAGUCAGCGGUGAACGCAAGUUUGCUGUAUUACUGGCUAGUCGACCAUCUACAACAGGGCUGAGUGGGUGGCGGCGAGACAACCUGGUACGGGGGAACACCCAAAAGGCCAUUCACAGCCUUAGGGUCAAUCCCGUGGUGAGCUUGUACUGAGCAAUUGGUAUAAAGCCAUCGUAACGCGCGGAAAGGUGUCGGGGGUCCCUCUGGGAUCCCUUAAGGUACGUGCUACUCCCAUCCGUAAGGAUGCUUUGGACUGGAACUCUCAGCCAGUAAAGGUCCAAAAAACCAUUGAAACUCGGGGGAAAUCCCGGGUCGAGGUUUGGUAGGGAUUUGACACGGAUACACGUAAAAAUGUGUCCGUGUUGAACCAAGGUAAUUUGACUCAACACGGGAAAACUCACCAGGUCCAGAUACACGUAUGAAAGACAAGCUGAAAGACUUUUCUCAAUGAUGUAAGUGGUGGUGCAUGGUCGUUAACUAAGUAGCGACAAAAAGUGCCUACGAAAGUAGGUGCUAGUGGGGGCAGGUCCGUUUUGGUUAGGGCCUGUUUCUGCGACAUUGCCAAAUUGCGGGGAAGCCCUUAGAGCCCUUCCUACCAAGCAUUGAACGAAAGUUCCUUGUGGCCCCGGAGAAAGACCGGGGGUAUGGUAAAAACGGAAGGGAUUGGGUUAUCCGCAGCCAAGCCCGUACGGGAAGAUUAGUAUGAUGUGGGGGGACCCCAUCAGAAUCCUCUUUCUAGGGUGCAGUUCAACGACUAAACGGCAGUGGGCGAUGAUACCGGCUUUUUCGGUUGGUUUUGUUGCUUAAGAUAGAGUCUUGCCCCACCGAAAGGUGGCUGUGGGAGGAAAGGGAUCAACCAUCCCCGGAACUCACGGAUAAUGGAUUAUUAAUUUAAGCCAUUUGGAACAACAGUCUUAGUUCGUGGAUUGAUUUGUCUGGUCUAUUCCGAUAACGAGCGAGACCCCUCCGUUCCUACUAGGGGUGGCAGCCCGGCUCGCGCCCUCACGGGAGCUUGCUAGCAGCUACUUAAGAUUUACUUCUUAGACGUAUCAGAGCCGAUAAGGUUCUUGAAAUGGGUUAAUAACAGGUUUGUCAAGCACUGGCCUGUAAUAGUCAGCCUAAGAAACUGGCUAGUGGUGACUGCUCUGAGCAGUUGCUGCGACACCUUCAAAUUGCUAGAACACCCUAAAGGCAUCACUACCAACCUUGGUCCGAAAGGACUGGGGGGCCCAACUUAACGGGAGGUUACAAUGUGAUGUAUAGACGUGCCUUUCGGGGUACUGAAAAUGGGCGACCAGCAGCCAAGUCCUAACGUGGGCAACAGCAAUGUUCCCGCCACGGAUGCAGUUCACAGACUAAAUGUAGGUGGGGUUACGCUGUAAUUCGGUUCUGAAUCAAUAAGGGACCGGGUGAGUGACCAUAAGAUAUAGUCGGGCCCCCAGCGAAAGUUGGGGGAUAAAAGCAGUCAUGCCCUUAGAUGUUCUGGGCCGCACGCGCGUUACAAUGGCAUGAAUAAAAAGUGCCUAAAAGGGCGUAUCCGGGGCCUACAGGCUCUGGUAACCCCUAGUCCCUGCCUUGACUGGGACAGACUAUUGCAAUUAUUGGUCUCAAACGAGGAAUUUUUAGUAGUCGUAGGUCAUUAACCUGCGACGAAUGCGUCCCUGCCCUGAUAGCGAAGGUGUUUUCGGAAUAGUACCGGGUUUUUUCGGACUGGCCGGCGGGCCGGGUUGAUGAAGAGAUCCCGAAAUUUCGGGGGUGCCGUGGUUGACUUAGAAGUACUGUGAAUCCGUACUGGCCGGCGGGCCGGGUUGAUGGGGAAGCGGGAAAUCCUGGGAUACUAGACCUUAGGGGUAAAAAGGGGGUCAGCUAAUAACUGCCCUCUAGUCCGGCCGGCCUCUCACGGGGUUGGUCUCUCUGAACUGACAGGGAUUUACGGGCGACACUAACAAAUAGCGGGGAGUCUCACGAAUAGCAUCGGCUACCAAGUCCUUUUUUUGAAAAGAAAUCGGAUGGCCUCGGAUAAUGCCCGAGGGUACGGUAACAACGCCAGUGUAACGGGAUAACCUGCGGCCAAGCCCGUACCGGAUCUUCGCAAGGUCCCAGGGUGCAGCUACCAGAUCAAACGUUAGUGGGUGAGUUCCCUGAAUUUCAGGGGGCUUGCUUAAGAUAUGAUCGAACGGAUCCCUAGGCAUGGUCCAUAAAAACUGCCGGAAUCGAACGGGAAAAGAAGACAAACACUCCCGGGGAAUCCCCGGGAGUAGGAUGCGGGAAAAGAAGACCAAAACUCCCGGGGAAACCCGGGAGUAGGAGGGAAAAAAAGCAAAACCAAUCGGCGGAUGCCCUAAUAUUGUUGUACACACCGCCCGUCGCUGCUACCGAUUGGGUUUUGCGGUUACGAGUUCGGAAGAUGUGGCUCCCUGCCUGCCUUCGGGUAGGUAGUAACUAUGACUAAAGUUCUAAUUACCGCACGGCCUAGAGGAAGCAGAAGUCGUAACAAGGUAAUCGUAGGUGAACCUGCGUUUGGAUCAUUA
rnacentral:rRNA from 1 species